GGCGCGAAAACUCUGCAAUGCAGGCAACUGCGACAGGGGAACAUCGAGUGGUCCUCAUAUUGGGGGCCUGUCCACCCGCCUAAAAAGCGGGUGUUAGCAAGGGCCGGGCAAGACCGGUGCCAGCCGCCGCGGUAAUACCGGCGGCUCGAGUGGUGGCCGAUAUUAUUGAGUCUAAAGGGUCCGUAGCCGGCUUCGCAAGUCUCUCGGGAAAUCCAGCGGCUUAACCGUUGGUCGUCCGGGGGGUACUACGUUGCUUGGGACUGGGAGAGGUAGGAGGUACUCAGGGGGUAGGAGUGAAAUCCUGUAAUCCUUUGGGGACCACCGGUGGCGAAGGCGUCCUACCAGAACAGGUCCGACGGUGAGGGACGAAAGCUAGGGGCACGAACCGGAUUAGAUACCCGGGUAGUCCUAGCCGUAAACGAUGCUCGCUAGGUGUCACAACAGUCGUGAACUGUUGUGGUGCCGCAGGGAAGCCG
rnacentral:rRNA from 1 species